UGGGUCCACCUCCCACCCGUGUUUAUUUACCUUGUUGCUUCGGCGGGCCCGCCUUAACUGGCCGCCGGGGGGCUUACGCCCCCGGGCCCGCGCCCGCCGAAGACACCCUCGAACUCUGUCUGAAGAUUGUAGUCUGAGUAUAAAUAUAAAUUAUUUAAAACUUUCAACAACGGAUCUCUUGGUUCCGGCAUCGAUGAAGAACGCAGCGAAAUGCGAUACGUAAUGUGAAUUGCAAAUUCAGUGAAUCAUCGAGUCUUUGAACGCACAUUGCGCCCCCUGGUAUUCCGGGGGGCAUGCCUGUCCGAGCGUCAUUUCUGCCCUCAAGCACGGCUUGUGUGUUGGGCCCCGUCCUCCGAUUCCGGGGGACGGGCCCGAAAGGCAGCGGCGGCACCGAGUCCGGUCCUCGAGCGUAUGGGGCUUUGUCACCCGCUCUGUAGGCCCGGCCGGCGCUUGCCGAUCAACCCAAAUUUUUAUCCAGGUUGACCUCGGAUCAGGUAGGGAUACCCGCUGAACUUAAGCAUAUCAAUAAGACGGAGGAA
rnacentral:rRNA from 1 species